UGGCUUUUCCCUGUAGCACAAACAGGGCGAGUAUACAAGCACUGUGAAAUGACAUCGUACCUCGAUUCGGGCGCCUGCUGCGAUGCCGUUGGACAAAGGGUGCUCGGUGCUGUGAGUGCUGCGGCAGCUCGGUCACACCGUGGGCAUCAGCUGGGAAUUGCACACAGCCUGUUGAGCACGAGGGGCACGUGGAAAUCGCCAGAUGAAAGCACGUGGCUGAAAUUCAGCAGGAGGAGAACUUACACGGGUAGCAGGCAACAAGGAUGAGGGUAAAAUCAAGAUGUAAGGAAUGCUUGAGUCCUUUUGGAGUUCUGUACGGCAGACCCGACCGAUUUCAGUUUAAAGGGGAAGCUCUGAGUCCAUGAGAGAGGACAGGGUAACACACACAUCUACAGGAUGCUCUCCUGCUGUGUCAUGAGGAUCAGAGCCAACCCCAUUGCUGUGUGAACUCUUCAAUGCACAGAGGUCACAGCAGAGUGAGUCUGCCUGCAUCAGCAGAAGAGCUGCCUUCAUGGAGGUGCAGAUGCAGCUGGCCGUUGUGGAAUUCAUCUUGAACCACUCAGAUGUUCUCUUCCACUCCAAAUCCAGCCCGUUCUUUGGAGAUGGAGCAGGACACAGUUCUUAAUUGUGGCCCGAGUCCCUGUGGGUUUCUUUUCCUCCCACCAAGCUACUCACCCUGGAGGAGGCACAGGUGCGGACACAAGGCCACAGCAGCUCUCCCGUUGUGCCAGACAGCAGAGACAGUGGAGUGGAAGAGGGCCCCGCAGCAUUACAGGGGAAAUUGCACACAGUCAUUGACUUUCCAUCCAAAAGAUGAAGAGGAGUUUCUUUUGCAGCACCUAUCAUAAUUGUUUGGGUGUUGUUUUUUUUUUCCAUUAUUACUAAUGCAAAACUUGCUGAAACUAAGUUACCUUAACCACUCAUGGAGUGUGGUAGCAAAUUUCCACUCACUUUGGACUCUGAGGACUCAACUAGCUUACAACUGCCUGAUGGGCUCAGUUUAGGCACACAAUGGCACCGUUCCUUUCCUGUUAGGCAGCUCAGGUGUAUAAACCAUCUGAUGUCGAUGCUUGCCAGUACUGCCUGCACCUGGAGACAUCAGGGUUUUCCAGAUUCCAGGACCACGUGCCUGAAGUAAAUUCGGGUUCUCCUGUAAGCAGAGCUGUUGGACUGACUUGCUGUUUGCUAGGACUGGGAAGAGGCAAGGCUGCUGCAGCCCCAACCCCACCUGGCAUGGGUCUCUGUAGGGCCGGGCUGCUGGCUUUGUUCCGGGCACUGCAGGGCUCUGUGACCAAAAAUUACCCCCAGGAGCUGUGCUCACACCUCGCUGGCAAACAUGGCUGAGAAACCCCUGCACGUGGCCAGCCAGGAGCUGCUGCCCUUCUGACCACCUCACUCAAUAACUGCUCUCUGCUUGGGUGCACAUGCUGGAAGCUAUUACUCAACGAAUAAUACAAAUGUAAGAAAUAAACACUAAACAGGGUGUAUUGUCACAAGGUGGCCAGACAAGAGGAGUAAGAAAAUGUGUAAGCAUUGGGCAU